GACGAACGCUGGCGGCGUGCUUAACACAUGCAAGUCGAGCGGAAAGGCCCUUCGGGGUACUCGAGCGGCGAACGGGUGAGUAACACGUGAGCAACCUGCCCUAGGCUUUGGGACAACCCCGGGAAACCGGGGCUAAUACCGAAUAGGACCUGGCCUCGCAUGAGGCUGGGUGGAAAGUUUUUCGGCCUGGGAUGGGCUCGCGGCCUAUCAGCUUGUUGGUGGGGUGAUGGCCUGCCAAGGCGACGACGGGUAGCCGGCCUGAGAGGGCGACCGGCCACACUGGGACUGAGACACGGCCCAGACUCCUACGGGAGGCAGCAGUGGGGAAUAUUGCACAAUGGGCGGAAGCCUGAUGCAGCGACGCCGCGUGAGGGAUGACGGCCUUCGGGUUGUAAACCUCUUUCAGCAGGGACGAAGCGUAAGUGACGGUACCUGCAGAAGAAGCGCCGGCCAACUUCGUGCCAGCCGCCGCAGUAAUAC
rnacentral:rRNA from 1 species